UACGUAGGGGGCAAGCGUUGUCCGGAUUUAUUGGGCGUAAAGAGCGUGUAGGCGGCCUGGGAGGUCCGUUGUGAAAACUCGAGGCUCAACCUCGAGACGCCGAUGGAAACCCCCUGGCUAGAGUCCGGAAGAGGAGAGUGGAAUUCCUGGUGUAGCGGUGAAAUGCGCAGAUAUCAGGAAGAACACCCGUGGCUAAGGCGGCUCUCUAGUACGGUACUGACGCUGAGACGCGAAAGCGUGGGGAGCGAACAGG
rnacentral:rRNA from 1 species